rnacentral:rRNA from 1 species
UAGGGAAUCUUCGGCAAUGGGGGGAACCCUGACCGAGCAACGCCGCGUGAGUGAAGAAGGUUUUCGGAUCGUAAAGCUCUGUUGUUAAGGAAGAACGAGUGUGAGAAUGGAAAGUUCAUGCUGUGACGGUACUUAACCAGAAAGGGACGGCUAACUACGUGCCAGCAGCCGCGGUAAUACGUAGGUCCCGAGCGUUGUCCGGAUUUAUUGGGCGUAAAGCGAGCGCAGGCGGUUAGAUAAGUCUGAAGUUAAAGGCAGUGGCUCAACCAUUGUAGGCUUUGGAAACUGUUUAACUUGAGUGCAGAAGGGGAGAGUGGAAUUCCAUGUGUAGCGGUGAAAUGCGUAGAUAUAUGGAGGAACACCGGUGGCGAAAGCGGCUCUCUGGUCUGUAACUGACGCUGAUGUGCGAAAGCGUGGGGAUCAAACAGG